rnacentral:rRNA from 1 species
GAGAGUUUGAUCCUGGCUCAGGACGAACGCUGGCGGCGUGCCUAAUACAUGCAAGUCGAGCGGACCGACGGGAGCUUGCUCCCUUAGGUCAGCGGCGGACGGGUGAGUAACACGUGGGUAACCUGCCUGUAAGACUGGGAUAACUCCGGGAAACCGGCUCUAAUACCGGAUGCUUGAUUGAACCGGGUAGUCCAAUCAUAAAAGGUGGCUUUUAGCUACCACUUACAGAUGGACCCGCGGCGCAUUAGCUAGUUGGUGAGGUAACGGCUCACCAAGGCGACGAUGCGUAGCCGACCUGAGAGGGUGAUCGGCCACACUGGGACUGAGACACGGCCCAGACUCCUACGGGAGGCAGCAGUAGGGAAUCUUCCGCAAUGGACGAAAGUCUGACGGAGCAACGCCGCGUGAGUGAUGAAGGUCUUCGGAUCGUAAACCUCUGUUGUUAGGGAAGAACAAGUACCGUUCGAAUAGGGCGGUACCUGGACGGUACCUAACCAGAAAGCCACGGCUAACUACGUGCCAGCAGCCGCGGUUAUACGUAGGUGGCAAGCGUUGUCCGGAAUUAUUGGGCGUAAAGCGCGCGCAGGCGGUUACUUAAGUCUUAUGUGAAAGCCCCCGGCUCAACCGGGGAGGGUCAUUGGAAACUGGGGAACUUGAGUGCAGAAGAGGAGAGUGGAAUUCCACGUGUAGCGGUUAAAUGCGUAGAGAUGUGGAGGAACACCAGUGGCGAAGGCGACUCUCUNGUCUGUAACUGACGCUGAGGCGCGAAAGCGUGGGGAGCGAACAGGAUUAGAUACCCUUGUAGUCCACGCCGUAAACGAUGAGUGCUUAGUGUUAGAGGGUUUCCGCCCGCUAGUGCUGCAGCAAACGCAUUAAGCACUCCGCCUUGGGAGUACGGUCGCAAGACUUAAACUCAAAGGAAUUGACGGGGCCCGCACAAGCGGUGGAGCAUGUGGUUUAAUUCGAAGCAACGCGAAGAACCUUACCAGGUCUUGACAUCCUCUGACAACCCUAGAGAUAGGGUUUCUUCGGGGGCAGAGUGACAGGUGGUGCAUGGUUGUCGUCAGCUCGUGUCGUGAGAUGUUGGGUUAAGUCCCGCAACGAGCGCAACCCUUGAUCUUAGUUGCCAGCAUUCAGUUGGGCACUCUAAGGUGACUGCCGGUGACAAACCGGAGGAAGGUGGGGAUGACGUCAAAUCAUCAUGCCCCUUAUGACCUGGGCUACACACGUGCUACAAUGGGCAGAACAAAGGGCAGCGAAGCCGCGAGGCUUAGCCAAUCCCACAAAUCUUUUCUCAGUUCGGAUCGCAGUCUGCAACUCGACUUCGUGAAGCUUGAAUCGCUAGUAAUCGCGGAUCAGCAUGCCGCGGUAAAUACGUUCCCGGGCCUUGUACACACCGCCCGUCACACCACGAGAGUUUGUAACACCC